UCAUGCACUGGGGUCUUGAUGG
rnacentral:miRNA from 1 species